UAAGCAUAUCAAUAAGCGGAGGAAAAGAAACCAACAGGGAUUGUCUUAGUAACGGCGAGUGAAGCGACAAAAGCUCAAAUUUGAAAUCUGGCACCUUCGGUGUCCGAGUUGUAAUUUGAAGAAGGUAACUUUGGAGUUGGCUCUUGUCUAUGUUCCUUGGAACAGGACGUCACAGAGGGUGAGAAUCCCGUGCGAUGAGAUGUCCAACUCUAUGUAAAGUGCUUUCGAAGAGUCGAGUUGUUUGGGAAUGCAGCUCUAAGUGGGUGGUAAAUUCCAUCUAAAGCUAAAUAUUGGCGAGAGACCGAUAGCGAACAAGUACAGUGAUGGAAAGAUGAAAAGAACUUUGAAAAGAGAGUGAAAAAGUACGUGAAAUUGUUGAAAGGGAAGGGUUUGAGAUCAGACUUGGUAUUUUGUAUGUCUUGCUUUCGGGUGGGGCCUCUGCAGUUUACUGGGCCAGCAUCGGUUUGGACGGUAGGAUAAUGACAUUGGAAUGUGGCACUACUUCGGUGGU
rnacentral:rRNA from 1 species